rnacentral:rRNA from 1 species
UGGGGAAUAUUGGACAAUGGGCGAAAGCCUGAUCCAGCCAUGCCGCGUGUGUGAAGAAGGUCUUCGGAUUGUAAAGCACUUUAAGUUGGGAGGAAGGGCAGUAAGUUAAUACCUUGCUGCUUUGACGUUACCGACAGAAUAAGCACCGGCUAACUCUGUGCCAGCAGCCGCGGUAAUACAGAGGGUGCAAGCGUUAAUCGGAAUUACUGGGCGUAAAGCGCGCGUAGGUGGUUUGUUAAGUUGGAUGUGAAAGCCCCGGGCUCAACCUGGGAACUGCAUCCAAAACUGGCAAGCUAGAGUACGGUAGAGGGUGGUGGAAUUUCCUGUGUAGCGGUGAAAUGCGUAGAUAUAGGAAGGAACACCAGUGGCGAAGGCGACCACCUGGACUGAUACUGACACUGAGGUGCGAAAGCGUGGGGAGCAAACA